GAUGAUUAGCCACGAUCAGACUGAAUGGUGGUACUGGCUCGAAGGGCUGAAUGGCCUACCCCUGCACUUAUUUUCUAUCGAAUGGUAUAAUUUAACAUA